AGACGAUAGCAGGCAUUUUUAAUAAACAAAAUAUGUGUUGUUUUUUUUUGUUUGUUUACAGGAAGAAACGAGAAUAUCACAGAAGGAUGUGCAUUAGUAGUGCAGUAAAUGGAGUCUCCAAACGUUAUUAAACCUAUCAGCAUUAUGAAUUCUCAAUGUGGAAAGGUCACUGCAUAUCCUGAUUGUCCCACAACUUUAACCGUGUUCAAAAUUCUGUUAC